GGCGUAAAGGGCUCGCAGGCGGUUUCUUAAGUCUGAUGUGAAAGCCCCCGGCUCAACCGGGGAGGGUCAUUGGAAACUGGGGAACUUGAGUGCAGAAGAGGAGAGUGGAAUUCCACGUGUAGCGGUGAAAUGCGUAGAGAUGUGGAGGAACACCUGUGGCGAAGGCGACCCUCUGGUCUGUAACUGACUCUGAGGCGGGAAAGCGUGGGGA
rnacentral:rRNA from 1 species